UACGGAGGGUGCAAGCGUUGUCCGGAAUCACUGGGCGUAAAGGGCGCGUAGGCGGCUCAUGAAGGCUGUGGUGAAAGUCCGGGGCUCAACCUCGGAUCGGCCGUGGCGACUCGUGGGCUGGAGCACUGUAGAGGCGGGUGGAAUUCCGGGUGUAGCGGUGGAAUGCGUAGAGAUCCGGAAGAACACCAGUGGCGAAGGCAGCACUCUGGGACGUGACUGACGCUGAGACGCGAAAGCGUGGGGAGCAAACAGG
rnacentral:rRNA from 1 species